GAGCUCAUGUCAGCACACACCCUAAAACUGAAGGACAGAGAAGCUUCACAGGGCCCCUCCACUAGAAUGACAAGCAAAUUCGUGAAGCACUCCACAUUUUU
rnacentral:snRNA from 1 species